rnacentral:rRNA from 1 species
GAUGAACGCUAGCUACAGGCUUAACACAUGCAAGUCGAGGGGUAACGAGAGGAAAGCUUGCUUUCCUUGUCGACGACCGGCGCACGGGUGAGUAACGCGUAUCCAACCUGCCCCCAACUAGGGAAUAACCUUGCGAAAGUAAGACUAAUACCCUAUAAUUUCCUCAGAUGACAUCUGACGAGGAAUAAAGAUUUAUCAGUUGUGGAUGGGGAUGCGUCUGAUUAGCUUGUUGGCGGGGUAACGGCCCACCAAGGCAACGAUCAGUAGGGGUUCUGAGAGGAAGGUCCCCCACAUUGGAACUGAGACACGGUCCAAACUCCUACGGGAGGCAGCAGUGAGGAAUAUUGGUCAAUGGGCGGAAGCCUGAACCAGCCAAGUAGCGUGCAGGAUGACGGCCCUAUGGGUUGUAAACUGCUUUUAUACAGAAAUAAAGUUAGCCACGUGUGGUUAUUUGUAGGUACUGUAUGAAUAAGGACCGGCUAAUUCCGUGCCAGCAGCCGCCGUAA